UGUGCCUGCUAUGGAAAUGACCAAAUGGUUUGACACCAACUACCAUUUCAUUGUCCCUGAAUUGGGACCCGAUGUCCACUUCUCUUACGCUUCUCACAAGGCAGUGACUGAAUACAAGGAGGCUAAGGCGCUUGGUGUGGAUACUGUUCCAGUCCUUGUUGGCCCUGUUUCUUACUUGUUGCUUUCUAAACCUGCUAAGGGAGUUGAGAAAACCUUUUCUCUUCUCUCACUUCUCGGAAAAAUCCUUCCUGUCUACAAGGAGGUUAUUUCAGAGCUUAAAGCAGCUGGUGCAUCCUGGAUUCAGUUUGAUGAGCCUACACUUGUGAUGGAUCUUGAUUCUCACAAAUUGCAAGCAUUUACUGAUGCCUACUCUGAACUUGAGUCAACUUUAUCUGGCUUGAAUGUUCUCAUUGAGACCUACUUUGCUGAUAUCCCUGCUGAGGCAUUUAAGACUCUUGCAUCUUUGAAGGGUGUUACUGCAUAUGGUUUUGAUUUGGUCCGUGGAACUAAGACUCUCGACUUAAUCAAGAGUGAGUUCCCUAAGGGAAAAUACCUAUUUGCUGGAGUGGUUGAUGGAAGGAACAUCUGGGCCAAUGAUCUUGCAGCUUCUCUCAGCACCCUGCAUGAACUUGAGGGCAUUGUGGGCAAAGACAAACUCGUAGUCUCCACCUCUUGCUCGCUUCUUCACACUGCUGUUGAUCUCAUCAAUGAGACUAAGUUGGACAAGGAAAUCAAAUCAUGGCUUGCUUUUGCUGCCCAGAAAAUUGUUGAAGUGAAUGCUUUGGCCAAGGCCUUGGCUGGUGAAAAGGAUGAGGCCUUUUUCUCUGCUAACGCUGCUGCUCAAGCCUCAAGGAAGUCCUCCCCUAGGGUGACCAAUGAGGCUGUUCAAAAAGCUGCUGCUGCUUUGAGAGGUUCUGACCACCGCCGUGCUACCAAUGUUAGUGCCAGACUGGAUGCUCAACAGAAGAAGCUUAAUCUUCCAAUCCUUCCAACCACCACAAUUGGUUCCUUCCCACAGACCAUUGAACUCAGGAGAGUCCGCCGUGAAUACAAGGCUAAGAAGAUCUCUGAAGAUGACUACAUUAAAGCCAUCAAGGAAGAAAUCAACAAAGUUGUCAAACUCCAAGAGGAACUUGAUAUUGAUGUUCUAGUCCAUGGAGAGCCCGAGGUGACUUUUUUGCUGCAUGUAAUUAUUAGGAAAAAAGGGGAAAAAUAUAGAGGGUCUCUUAUUAGAUGUAUGCAUUCUAUGAUUACAGCAUUAGCUCCUCCUUUUUUUCAAUCUUCUGAUUAAAUGUGGCCUUUCAUUAUUGUAGAGGAACGAUAUGGUUGAAUACUUUGGAGAGCAGUUAUCAGGUUUUGCUUUCACUGUCAAUGGGUGGGUGCAAUCUUAUGGAUCUCGUUGUGUCAAGCCACCCAUUAUCUAUGGUGAUGUGAGCCGCCCCAACCCAAUGACCGUCUUCUGGUCAUCUACAGCCCAGAGCAUGACUGCCCGCCCAAUGAAGGGAAUGCUUACGGGCCCUGUUACCAUCCUCAACUGGUCCUUUGUCAGAAAUGACCAGCCCAGAUUUGAGACAUGCUAUCAGAUUGCCUUGGCCAUCAAGGAUGAAGUUGAGGAUCUCGAGAAGGCUGGCAUCAAUGUUAUCCAAAUUGAUGAGGCUGCUUUGAGAGAGGGGUUACCUCUUAGGAAGUCUGAGCAAGCUUUCUACUUAGACUGGGCAGUGCACUCCUUCAGGAUCACCAACUGUGGAGUCCAAGACACCACCCAGAUCCAUACUCACAUGUGCUACUCCAACUUCAAU
rnacentral:misc_RNA from 1 species